CAGAUCCUCUCCUUUCUUCCCCAACCAGGGUUGAGCCCUCGAGUUGGUCGUUUCUCUCCAGCAGAUGUUCCCCUCCUGUGAGGAUUGGCUGAGAAUUGUAUCGAUGAUUCAAACUAGUGACAUUUGUAUCCUUUGUGAUCGUUUUGUCAGCAUGAUCAUCAUAUAUGCAUAUACAUAUACAUAUACAUUAAUAAAUUUCACUAUUAAAUUA
rnacentral:lncRNA from 1 species